GAUGAACGCUGGCGGCGUGCCUAAUACAUGCAAGUCGAGCGAAUGGAUUAAGAGCUUGCUCUUAUGAAGUUAGCGGCGGACGGGUGAGUAACACGUGGGUAACCUGCCCAUAAGACUGGGAUAACUCCGGGAAACCGGGGCUAAUACCGGAUAACAUUUUGAACCGCAUGGUUCGAAAUUGAAAGGCGGCUUCGGCUGUCACUUAUGGAUGGACCCGCGUCGCAUUAGCUAGUUGGUGAGGUAGCGGCUCACCAAGGCAACGAUGCGUAGCCGGCCUUCGAGGGGGGUCGGCCACCCUGAGGCUGAGAGACGGCCCAGACUCCUGAGGGAGGCAGCAGUAGGGAAUCUUCCGCAAUGGACGAAAGUCUGACGGAGCAACGCCGCGUGAGUGAUGAAGACUUUCGGGUCGUAAAACUCUGUUGUUGGGGAAGAACAAGUGCUAGUUGAAUAAGCUGGCACCUUGACGGUACCUAACCAGAAAGCCACGGCUAACUACGUGCCAGCCGCCGCGGUAA
rnacentral:rRNA from 1 species